GUGGGGAUAGCUCGGGGAACCUCGAUUAAAUCCCGCAUACGUCUUACGGGAGAAAGGGGGCAGUUUACUGCUCUCGCUAUUAGAUGAGCCUAAGUCGGAUUAGCUAGAUGGUGGGUAAAGGCCUACCAUGGCGACGAUCUGUAGCUGGUCUGAGAGGAUGAUCAGCCACACCGGGACUGAGACACGGCCCGGACUCCUACGGGAGGCAGCAGUGGGGAAUAUUGGACAAUGGGGGGAACCCUGAUCCAGCCAUGCCGCGUGUGUGAAGAAGGCCUUUUGGUUGUAAAGCACUUUAAGCAGUGAAGAAGACCUAACGGUUAAUACCCGUUAGCGAUGACAUUAGCUGCAGAAUAAGCACCGGCUAACUCUGUGCCAGCAGCCGCGGUAAUACAGAGGGUGCAAGCGUUAAUCGGAAUUACUGGGCGUAAAGCGAGCGUAGGUGGCUUGAUAAGUCAGAUGUGAAAUCCCCGGGCUUAACCUGGGAACUGCAUCUGAUACUGUUAAGCUAGAGUAGGUGAGAGGGAAGUAGAAUUCCAGGUGUAGCGGUGAAAUGCGUAGAGAUCUGGAGGAAUACCGAUGGCGAAGGCAGCUUCCUGGCAUCAUACUGACACUGAGGCUCGAAAGCGUGGGUAGCAAACAGGAUUAGAUACCCUGGUAGUCCACGCCGUAAACGAUGUCUACUAGUCGUUGGGUCCCUUGAGGACUUAGUGACGCAGCUAACGCAAUAAGUAGACCGCCUGGGGAGUACGGCCGCAAGGUUAAAACUCAAAUGAAUUGACGGGGGCCCGCACAAGCGGUGGAGCAUGUGGUUUAAUUCGAUGCAACGCGAAGAACCUUACCUGGUCUUGACAUACACAGAAUCUUGUAGAGAUACGAGAGUGCCUUCGGGAAUUGUGAUACAGGUGCUGCAUGGCUGUCUCAGC
rnacentral:rRNA from 1 species